GGGAGGUUGGCGGCGGACGUGCUGCUCGCCAAUCGGGUCAGGUCCGGAAGGAAGCAGCCCCAACGAGACCCGGCACGGGUCGCCGUCCAGCCUCCCGCU
rnacentral:SRP_RNA from 1 species